rnacentral:tRNA from 1 species
GCCGGGAUGGCGGAAACUGGUAACGCGCCAGAAAAAAUCUGGUUUCCUUCGGGAAGUUUGGGUUCAAAUCCCAAUCCCGGCG